rnacentral:rRNA from 1 species
AUACGGAGGGUGCGAGCGUUGUUCGGAAUUAUUGGGCGUAAAGAGCAUGUAGGCGGUCUGUUAAGUCUGGUGUGGAAGCCCGGGGCUCAACCCCGGAAGUGCAUUGGAUACUGGCAGACUUGAGUAUGGGAGAGGAAAGCGGAAUUCCGAGUGUAGGAGUGAAAUCCGUAGAUAUUCGGAGGAACACCAGUGGCGAAGGCGGCUUUCUGGACCAAUACUGACGCUGAGAUGCGAAAGCGUGCGGAGCAAACAGGAUUAGAAACCCCAGUAGUCC